rnacentral:lncRNA from 1 species
GAGAAGGAAGGAAUAAAGAAGUGGAUUCAUAAUAGGGAAGGAAAUGGCAGCCCAAAGAUGAAGAUACAUGUUCCUAAGGGACAAAAUGUGCUUUCCAUGUAGAAGUCAUCCUUUCUUCAAAGUCUCUUGAAUAUAACUGAAUACCUUUCAAGAAGUGAAUGUGGAGAAAACAGAGACUUUUUCCAAAAGUUGAGGUCCAGUUCCCUACAAAAGACCUUCACCCAAAGGUCCAGUCAAGUUUAUAAUUUUCCAUCACUGGAUUUUAUCAUCGUGGGAAGAAGAUUACUGGUCCAAAGCCAUGCAGAUACCCCACUCUAAUCAGGCUUUGGAUAAGCUGAGGAAAAUUAUCACUCAAAUUGUCCGGGCCGCCCAUCCCUCACCCCCUGAAUGUGACCUGCCCCCUUUUGCAGAUGAACCAGGAGAUCUUGUGUGGGUUCGGAAUAUUCCUGCAGGGGCUCUUGAACCACGGUGGACUGGACCUUACGUGAUGAUAUUGACCACCCCUAGAGCUGUAAAGGUUGCAGGAAAGAAAUGUUGGGUCCACGUGUCUCAACUGAAACCUGUUAAACCAAGAGUAGAGCAAGAAGCAGAGCAGUGGAAGGUCACCAAAACUUCGGAUCCCUUAAAGAUCAAGAUUCAUAGACAUUGAACACUAUGGGAAAGGGAGGAUGGGGUGGAGCUAUGCUUGCACUUGUACUUUUGGGAUUUUCGGAAAUUAGUCUACCCUUCCAAGUAAUUCAAUACUGAUGGGUAAUCAGUAGGACAAGGGAUGGGAAGGAAUUAAUUAGUGACAGACCAACCCGGGAGGAUAAAACCCCCCAAAUCCUUUUUGAUUUGUGUGAUUUAUUUGGGAGUGAAUGGACAUCCCUCAGACCCUUUCAUGCGCAACCCCAUCGGGGACUCUGUAUCUAUCAGAAGCUCCUGUCUAUGCUUGCCCAUCUACAGGGCCACUGUCAUGCAAAAAAGGGGGAGAAUUCUAUUGUGCAGCCUGGGGAUGUGGAACUGUUGCCCCAUGGCAGCAGGAGGACCCCAAUAGAUAUCAUACUGCAAAGGGGGCGAAGUAGGGUCUGGGACAUCCCCCCUCGAUUUCAGGAAUCCCCUUUCCCUGACUAUUAAAAAAACCCAGAGGAUAAAGGCCAGACAUGGGGACUUAGGCUGGAUGUGGGAGGCCAGGACCCAGGAACAGAAUUUACAGAACAAA